AUGGAAAGAAUCGUUCAAAGAGUAAAGACUACAGGUCUAAGUCAAGACCAAAGAAUGCCACAAAGUCUAAAAUAUAUUGGAGUUGUGGUAAGGAGGGGCAUUUCAUGUGAGACUGUCCUUGUGACACCCCCGAUCGUAGAUAACCGGAUAUGACACGGUCUAUGUUCCCUGAUGGUCGACCCGAGGUUCUCGAACUAAAUCCGAUCACCUUAGACCAACAACCAAAGAACACAGACACUCCUAUCGGAUAUUACUCUAGGCUUUUCAACCCAAUAAAGCAAUCUUCGAUAGUUAGUUCAUCGCGGACAAGGACUAAUAUCGUAUGAGAACUCGUGAUUUAUAAACAUUUUUUAUACAUUAUUUGUUUACUUUAAACAUCUUACAAAGUGUUAUAGUUUUAUCCUACGGCCUAUCGCCCAACAACGUUUUAAGUAAAUAUACAUCAAAAGGUACGUUGCAAGGACAACAAAAUACUACCGCUGGUUGGCCGCUCCUUCCAUCCAAAAGAGUAAAGUGUCUCCCGCCUAAGGGUUACCUGCACACACGAAUGAGUCAUGAGCAACUAGUUUACUCAGUGAAUCUAGAAUCAAAACACAAUCAAUAAUAAACCAAACAAUUAUCAAAUGGAUAUACAUGAU
rnacentral:lncRNA from 1 species